rnacentral:lncRNA from 1 species
CAUCUAGAUUCCUGACCAAGAGAAAGUGUUUGGAAUAGUUCACCAGUGAAGUCAUCUCAACCAGCACAGGGCCUUGACUCCUAACAACAAUCACAUGAACUUGGAAGAGGAUCCUUCCCCAGCUGAACCUUCACUUGAGACCUUGUCCUUGGCCAUCAUCGACAUCUGGAUUCAUGAUACAGAGAAACUUGAGUAAUGAUGACAAUAGCAGUCCAGCGUGCAUGGAUGCUGACAUGGAUGCUGUCUCCCAUUCUUACCACUGGAUGGGAAGAAAUGCUAGAUGCGAUCCAGCCAUUGUGUUCUCGACUCUCAGUUCCAUCUUCUCAACUGACAUUGUUUUCCAAAGUCCG